AUGGGGUGGAGGCGCGAUGGUGAUGCGGCGGCGCUGAUGGCUGGAUGGAUGGACGGUGUGUGCUGGCGGCGGCAUGGAGAUGGAUCGGUGCUGGUGGAUGCUCGUGAUGGCGCGGUGGCGCGCCACGCCGGCCUGGCCGCGGCCGCGGCUGGUGGUGGAGAAGGUGGGGUGAGGGAGAUGGAGAUAUGCCAGGCCCAAUUUGGGAGUGGUGCAGCGCUAGGGAUUUUGAUCCCCUCCCUGCCUGAUCUGCCACUUUUACUCUUUGGCCCUUCUCUUCUCAACUUUCUACACAAGAAGAUCCUCCCACUUCUUUAUCUAGCCCCUGGUUACUUCUUUUCAUCUCACACGGGUCUCUUCUUCUUCUCUUCUCUUCUUCACUCUUCUCGAUAG
rnacentral:rRNA from 1 species